rnacentral:tRNA from 1 species
GCGAAGGUGGCGGAACUGGCAGACGCGCUAGAUUCAGGUUCUAGUGCCCGCAAGGGCGUGGAGGUUCAAGUCCUCUCCUUCGCA